rnacentral:siRNA from 1 species
AGCACAUAAGACAGUUUCCGUUGC